GCGGCGGCGCAGGAAUGGAGGCGCGGUGGAUCUGCUGCCGCACACGACUCCGUCAUCCUCAUGCCGGUCACCUCCCCUAACCUGCUGCAGCCCCGUGUUCGUCAACUAACUACAACAUGGCAUGAUGCAUAUUUCUGCCAAUUCCUUCUAUUAUUAAGUACGGCUGGUACCAUUUCGAUGUCUUUCGAUAUUUACGAAAUGGAGAGGGCUUCUGAGGUGGAACGAAGCCCCAUCGAAUGGGGGUUUCAAAGUCUCUCCUUGCCUGGAAGCAACUGCUGCGUCGGGACAUUGUUGGCUGGCUGCAGAGCAUGGCGGCCAUGACGGCGAUGGCAGGGCGCCCUAACAGCAGCAGUGGCAGAGGCUGAAGCUGGCGCUGGAGAUGCAGGACCUCCUCCAUGUCCUCGAUAUGCCCCCGUCAAGCUCACCUGCGAUGCCGGAUGAGUGGAUGGGUCAGAAAGAUAGGUGGGCAAGUUCUCGGAGCAGUACACCUGCUGGUCCAGCAUCGCCUUCUCCUGCUCCGUCACCUCCGUCAUCAUCAAGGUUCUGAAGAAUGAUGCUGAGGUGAAGUUUCUGAGGAAUGCUUCAUGUGUCUUGCAAGCUCCAACUGGCAACGAAGUUGCAUAACAAUGUAGCUGAGAAUAUUUGUACCUGCCCAGUGGAGCUUGAGCUGGUGCUACCGGCAUCCACUAUGACAUGCUGCCUAUGCCUUCGUUGACUGGGACGUCUCCUACAGCACCGCGUCCCCCAUAGGCGUGCCCCAGAAGGUUGCACUAUAUCAAGGUUCUUCAGGAGAAGGACCUGGAUGUUCAUGCUGAGAAGGGCAUACAACAUAACCUGAAGGUCACCUUCCGUGGAGAAGAUGAUGAAGCGUGCCUGUAUGGUGGUGCUCCAAAGGGCUCUCAGCUUAGAGAACUUGAGCGUAGAGCACAUAUUGUUGUUGCUGCACCUGGACGACUUGAUGAUAUUCUGGAGAUGAUGAAGCUGAAUGCAUGCUUGCCAUUGGUUUUAAGCCACAAACACGGAAGAUUGUGGACGAGAUUCCUGAUAGAAGACAGACUCUGAUGUACACUACCACUUGGCCAAAAGAGAUUACAAAAUAUCUGGUGAUUUAUCAAGAGAUCAUAUCCAGAUCAAUAUUGGAAACAUCGAUGAACUUGCUGCCAACAAUCCAUCACACAGUAUGUAGAGAUAGUUCCAUCAAUGGAUAAGCAAAACCGUUUGGAGCAGGUUUUAGAGCUGAAGAAAGGGGCAAAGAUCAUCAUAUUUUGCUCAACAGAGAAAAUGUGCGACCAGCCUUCUCGUGGCGUUUUCGUUGUCUUGGUUCUGCAAGCUUUCGCGGUGAUAAAUCACAGGGCCGUGGUGCUGUUGUUAGUGGAUGUGUGAAACACAGGACAAUUAAAACUGUUGACUAUGUUGAGAUCUUUGGUUUAUUGGAGUUUUAAGGCAAACACAUGUCUAAGGCAUGAAGUUAUGUAGUUGCCACUGGCUUGUUGAUCUUUGCUGGUUCUGGCCUAGCAUUUCCUUUUUUUUAUGGGUUCCAGCUCGGUGCCUUUGAAUUUAUGUAAUGCCACUAUGAAGCAGCUUCAGACAUUAGCUCAGGAGCUUCCUCGUGUCAGUUAUGGCACAGCAUAAUACAUCUUAGACGUGACGAUGCAAGGCAGUGAACAGCUCCCAGUGCUUUUGGUUUAUUCUUUGCCCUUAUCUACCUGCCAUGUCAAAUUUGUGCAAUACUUGAUGCUCUGUGCCAUGAUGUCUAUGUUGCAUCAUUAGACAAUCUUCACCGCUAUUUUGGUUACUGGUUAGUCAGACCUCCAACCAUACUAUGGAUAGUGCUUGAUAUUUUCACCACCUCUAUGAUUGAAUGUUACUGUUGAGUAAAUCACCAGCUCAUCACUGUGAGCGCUUGAUGUUUUCACACAAUGUUCCGUCCAUUUAAGCAAAUACCUGAUGGGCCCGACAAAUAUAUUUUAAAAAGUAAUCAAUGCCUUUAAGGAAUAUUUUCGUUCAAGAAGUCUGUAGUCCUUCAGAUAAUAUGAUUAGGCAAAAUGUUGAGAAAUCAUCCUACUAUUUGCGAAGUUAUAGAAUCUACUCUUUUAAGCAUAUACGCGAAGUAAAACACAGAAAAACUAUUUCACUUAAGAGCGUGCCACUUUAUUACCCUAGUUUUUAGUGUUACUCAAUACUAGUACCUCUGUUCUUUUCUAAUCGACGCACAGAGUAGCCUGUGCAUGCACGUAUCGUACCUGCUGCCGGCGUCGAUUAAUUUAGACCGGAGGUAGUACUUCUUAAUUAAUGGCCUGCUCACUAACCUGAAUGGCUGAGUCUUUUUUCUCUUGUUAUUUGUCAGGUUUCAAAAUAUGGUAGCUGCAUAUUUGCAGGGUCCAUUUUGGGUUUUAUUUGUGUCAUAUAUGUGCAAGUUAAAAUGCACUUGUACUUAUGGUAUACACAUAUAGGAAAGGGGAAAUCUUGUGAUAUACUUGCUGUUAGGCACCUUCUGAAUUCUGAUUGUUUAAUAUGCCAAUACUCUCUACAUCUUGUUCACUCUUAAACAGAGCUAUCCUUAAUUGUUGUGAGCUCUUUCUUAAACCUCAUGUAUCUUUUGCUUUCUUCUUUGGAUAGAACCAAGUCAUAUCAAUACUUGCUGAUGUAGUUAACGCGUGCACAACAGAGAUUGUUAAACACAAGACAAAGUUAGCGAAAAAGGCACCAAUAAAAUGAUUUAAUGAAUUUUUAUUACUUCUUUGUAUCAUAUAUAUCUCCAGUAUCAGUAUGGCAGUAUAUAUGUUAGCUUGUUAUUUCAAAAUUUUCAUUUCUUUGUAUCAUAUGUACCUCCUGCUUAUAGAAAUAUGCUGCUGAAUAUAUUUUAGGAUUUGCUUCUAUAUAUCUAUCCUUCUGUGGUUUGAAUUCUGCUUGAACAUUGCAAGUACUUGAUACUGAUGCCAUUUCUUCUUGUAGAUGAACAAACCCUUACAAGCCCAGUAGCCAGCAUGCCUGUACUUUGUUGAGACCUUCCCAUGCUCUCAUACUUCCAUUUUUGGUGGACUCUCAGAUUAGGUACAGGAAGUCGAACAAGGACUACACCACCGGUGGUUGUUGCCCAGCUGCACAGUGUGGGUCUCCCCGAGCUCCUGCUGGUGGUUGCCUGCCUGGGCUGCUGCUGCUGGCGUCCACCUGGAGCUGGCCAUAUCCGCCUCGCUACCGUGUGAUCACUUGGCUUGUGCUACAAAGCGGCGCCGCAUAAAAUUCUUCCCGUGCGGCGGCUCUUUCAUGCAGGAACAACCCCACUGUAUUUUUGUCCGGUGUGACCCGGGCGUUCCGGCUCUGGUGGUGCUUCUGGGCUGGCCGUGGCCUCACGUGCCCAGUUUUUCCAUCGCCCCGAUGCCGGUCAGUUCUCCACAGGGAUCAGUCUCCUCAACGCUUUCCUAAGGAACAGGCAGUAGGAGAGAACUUGACCUGGAGCUGCCUGGACUGGUGUGACAUGGCCUUUCUACCUCCGGUGAAGCUGCUGUUGCUGUGUUGGCACACCUCGUGCAUGGUUUUAGGCCUGACCAUCCCUUGGCUUCGACUACCUUGCUUCUUGCCGUCGUGCUAUGACCGCGAGUUCACCGCGCCGCAACCACUGUGGUGGUGAUUCUCUGCCUCGUCUACAACCUCUUGAGGUUUUCUUUGUGGCCUCCUGAUGGUGGCGACGAUGGCGAGUGGUCGACCAUGGCCUCCUGUAGUGCAGUCGUAGGCCAUGCUUGGUCCUCUCGGCCUCCUUUUCUUCCUUUGGUUGGUGACACGGCGCUCAUGCGGGCCAUACCGCAACCAUGGUGGUGCUGGCCUCACCUCCUUGCCGGUGAUAGGAUGUACAUGCAGCAGGUUGUUACGGCCGUACAUGCUUUCUUUGUCGAUUCCAUUGACGCAGUGCUGUGUUCACUGCCUGUUAGGUUAAUAAUGAGUUGCAGGUGGACGGCUGUCUUUGUUUGGCCUGGAGCAUCUAUGUGGAUGGAAGGUCCAUUUUUUUUAUGUAAUGUUGGCAUUAGAAAUUUCUUCGGCUGAUCAUAUUCAACCUAGAGGGAGAGAUCCAUGUGGGUUCUUUUUAUGCCAAAACUGAGAGAAUUAACAUUUCAAUGUUGAGAGAUGCACAUACAGCUUGUUUUGUUUUCGUCUUGUUGUAUUGAUGUAGAAUCGACACAUUUUUGAAUGUGUGGAACAUAUUACAAA